GAUGAAGAACGUAGCGAAACGCGAUAAGUAAUGUGAAUUGCAGAAUCCAGUGAAUCAUCGAAUCUUUGAACGCACAUUGCGCCCGCCAGUAUUCUGGCGGGCAUGCCUGUCCGAGCGUCAUUUCAACCCUCAAGCCCCCGGGCUUGGUGUUGGAGAUCGGCGAGCCCCCCGGGGCGCGCCGUCUCCCAAAUAUAGUGGCGGUCCCGCUGUAGCUUCCUCUGCGUAGUAGCACACCUCGCACUGGGAAACAGCGUGGCCACGCCGUAAAACCCCCCACUUCUGAAAGGUUGACCUCGGAUCAGGUAGGAAUACCCGCUGAACUUAAGCAUAUCAAUAAGCGGAGGA
rnacentral:misc_RNA from 1 species